rnacentral:snRNA from 1 species
AAACCUUGUCUGUGUCUCUGGGACCUUACAAUCAAAACAUUAUCUAAGCUCUAUCUGUUUUUAUCAGUUUAAUAUCUGAUAUGUCUUUGAUGUGAGGACUGUAUAUUAGCUUGAUUUUUGAAAUGAGAGGGUUAGAACAGAAACUUGCUUUGUUUAUCCUUGCAUCAACAUGGUAUUGUAGUGUCUCCAGGUACGGUGUAUCUCCU